ACUCCUACGGGAGGCAGCAGUGGGAAUUUUGCACAAUGGGGAACCCUGAUGCAGCGACGCCGCGUGAUUUAGAAGGCCUUCGGUUGUAAAAUCUUUUGUAUAGGAAGAAAUGACAGUACUAUACGAAUAAGGUCCGGCUAAUUACGUGCCAGCAGCCGCGGUAAUACGUAAGGACCGAGCGUUGUCCGGAAUCAUUGGGCGUAAAGGGUACGUAGGCGGCUAGAAAAGUUAGAAGUCAAAGGCUAUAGCUCAACUAUAGUAAGCUUCUAAAACUAUUUAGCUUGAGAAAAUGGAAGGGAAAGUGGAUUCCUAGUGUAGCGGUGGAAUGCGCANAUAUUAGGAAGAAUACCGGUGGCGAAGGCGACUUUCUGGCCAUUAUCUGACGCUGAGGUACGAAAGCGUGGGUAGCAAACAGGAUUAGAUACCCUGGUAGCUACGAG
rnacentral:rRNA from 1 species